UACGAAGGGGGCUAGCGUUGCUCGGAAUCACUGGGCGUAAAGGGUGCGUAGGCGGGUCUUUAAGUCAGGGGUGAAAUCCUGGAGCCAUCAACUCCAGUAACUGUCCUUGAUACUGAAGAUCUUGAGUCCGGGAGAGGUGAGUGGAACUGCGAGUGUAGAGGUGAAAUUCGUAGAUAUUCGCAAGAACACCAGUGGCGAAGGCGGCUCACUGGCCCGGUACUGACGCUGAGGCACGAAAGCGUGGGGAGCAAACAGG
rnacentral:rRNA from 1 species